GAUGAACGCUAGCGACAGGCCUAACACAUGCAAGUCGAGGGGUAUAAGUAGCUUGCUACUUAGAGACCGGCGCACGGGUGAGUAACGCGUAUGCAACCUGGCCGUAAGAGGGGGAUAGCCUCUCGAAAGAGAGAUUAAUACCGCAUAAUAUCACGAGAAGGCAUCUUUUUGUGCUUAAAUAUUCAUAGCUUACGGAUGGGCAUGCGUCUGAUUAGUUUGUUGGUAGGGUAACGGCCUACCAAGACUACGAUCAGUAGGGGUUCUGAGAGGAAGGUCCCCCACACUGGUACUGAGACACGGACCAGACUCCUACGGGAGGCAGCAGUGAGGAAUAUUGGUCAAUGGGCGAGAGCCUGAACCAGCCAAGUCGCGUGAAGGAAGGAUGUCCUAUGGAUCGUAAACUUCUUUUGUAAGGGAAUAAAAAAGCUUACGUGUAGGCUAUUGUAUGUACUUUACGAAUAAGGAUCGGCUAACUCCGUGCCAGCAGCCGCAGUAAGAC
rnacentral:rRNA from 1 species